AAGCAGAUUUGAUUUAGUAGAGAGCAGUCAGCUGGGAUGCCAGCAGCUUUGCCCCUGCAGACUGCAUCAGUUGGCACCGCAGGGGGGACAGUGGUGAUGGCAGGGACAGGCUGCUGACCUGCCUGUGCCUGCAGUCCCUCUGUGCCACUGGCUGCUCUGUGCUUUGAUGUCUGCUUAAAACUCUGCUCAACACUUCAAUGUUUCCUCGGCUGGUGAGUCUCAGGGUGAAACAGUAUCCAUUUCAAAGAAAAGAAGAUUAUUUUUCAUGCUGAGAUUCAAAAUUGCAGUUCAUUUGCUUUCUGGCUACUGGGAAGGAAACUGCACCACCUGAGGUGGCUGACAAGGCAGAACACAUGGCUGAAAAUAUGUCACGUGGUAUCUCCUGGAAAAUGACUGCAUUGCUCGUGAUCCUCGCUUUCAUGGCAAGACAACAAAAUCCCGUAAGAAACCAUUUAUCUCCAAUCGACGUCCCUCUGUGUGGCAGCACAACCAUCUGGUGUAUCACCCACCCCCUCCCAGUUUUGCAAACCUGAGGGCGCUCUCUGUCCCAUCAUCCAGGUCAUUAACAAAGAUGCUAAACAGCACUGGACCCAGAUCCAGGUGUUGGACGCACAGUGCAUUUGAACACAAUCCCAUGAAGGAAGAGCACAUCAGAGUUAAAAAGCAAAUUUUUAUGUGUGCAUUUGGCUGCCAUCUCACCAAUGAGCCCCGCUGCCAUGCUGUUGUCCAUGCUUUUGUCAGCAUGAGCUUGAACUACUGCAAAAGCGCAGCCAGCUGCUUUGAAGCUCUGCAGUAAUACCAGGUGGCACAGUGACUGAAGCUAUCGCCUUCCUGUCUGAGAGAAACAGUCAUGUUACAGCGGCGCCAACAGAGAGGAUCCAACCUGCUGGUUUUAACUCAAAAACUCUUAGAUGCUUUGGGACUUGCUUACAUAAGAGGCCACUGUUUUCCCACUCAUGCACCAAUUUCACUAGCUAGAGCAUUUACAUGUGUUGAUCAUCUAGUAGAAAAGGAGUACCUGCUAGCAGGCAAGUUUCUGUGAAAAAGCCUCAACAGCUGAAUUUGCUUCAGUGUGGGCGCUGUGUGGAUUUGGGUUGCUUCUGGCAAAACUAUCUAUUUAAGAAACAAUUUGGGACAGAGCUGGAUUGAGGAUCUUACUUGAAAGUCCCAGGAGAUUUUUUUACAUGAUUACAUGCUAUAGUAAAAAGAGAUAAGUUUGAUUCCUUGCAUAAAUUAUGACUAUUAAUAACUGAAUUAUAAAUCUAAAUAUUAUUAUAAUGAAUCCUUUAGUACCUAACAAUUAUAGAGUGUUACAAACUCUGAAAUAAACACUAGAAGUCUCUAAAUAAACAACAUAUUUGUGGCCUGAAACUGGCA